rnacentral:rRNA from 1 species
UAGGGAAUCUUCGGCAAUGGACGAAAGUCUGACCGAGCAACGCCGCGUGAGUGAUGAAGGUUUUCGGAUCGUAAAACUCUGUUGCCAGGGAAGAAUGGCUAGGCGAGUAACUGCGCUUAGUUUGACGGUACCUGAGAAGAAAGCCCCGGCUAACUACGUGCCAGCAGCCGCGGUAAUACGUAGGGGGCAAGCGUUGUCCGGAAUUAUUGGGCGUAAAGCGCGCGCAGGCGGUCAUUUAAGUCUGGUGUAUAAACCAAGGGCUCAACCUUUGGACGCAUUGGAAACUGGGUGACUGGAGUGUAGGAGAGGAAAGUGGAAUUCCACGUGUAGCGGUGAAAUGCGUAGAGAUGUGGAGGAACACCAGUGGCGAAGGCGACUUUCUGGCCUAUAACUGACGCUGAGGCGCGAAAGCGUGGGGAGCAAACA